AACGAACGCUGGCGGCGCGUCUUAAACAUGCAAGUCGAACGGACUUUUUAGAGCUUGCUUUGAAAAGUUAGUGGCGCACGGGUGAGUAACACGUGGGUAAUCUUCCUUCGAGAUGGGGACAACCAACCGAAAGGUUGGCUAAUACCGAAUAAAGAGUAUGGUUGAAAUAUCAUACUUUAAAGGAAUUAAAUCGCUCGGAGAUGAGCCUGCGGCCUAUUAGCUAGUUGGCGGGGUAAAUGCCCACCAAGGCGACGAUAGGUAUCCGGCCUGAGAGGGUGAACGGACACAUUGGGACUGAGACACGGCCCAGACUCCUACGGGAGGCAGCAGUUAAGAAUCUUGGACAAUGGACGAAAGUCUGAUCCAGCGACGCCGCGUGAAUGAUGAAGGUUUUCGGAUUGUAAAGUUCAGUAAGCAGGGAAGAAUAAAUGACGGUACCUGCCUAAAGCAUCGGCUAAAUACGUG
rnacentral:rRNA from 1 species